rnacentral:rRNA from 1 species
UACAGAGGUGGCAAGCGUUGUUCGGAAUUACUGGGCGUAAAGGGCGCGUAGGCGGUUCGUUAAGUCCUGUGUGAAAUCCCCCGGCUCAACUGGGGAACUGCACAGGAAACUAGCGGGCUUGAGUUCGGGAGAGGGAAGCGGAAUUCCGGGUGUAGCGGUGAAAUGCGUAGAUAUCUGGAGGAACACCGGUGGCGAAGGCGGCAUCCUGGACCAAUAUUGACGCUGAGGAGCGAAAGCUAGGGGAGCAAACGGG